rnacentral:lncRNA from 1 species
CCAAAGAUAUCUCUAUACCAGCAGUAAAGCUGUGGAGGAAGGACAGAGUGAGUCACGGGAAAGAAUAUCCUAGCCACCCAGUUCAGUUUUACAAUUGUGUGGUAGGUUGGAACUCUGCACAGAGGUCAGAGUUAGAGAGAGAUGGAUUGACUGAUUUAUCUGUAUGGAAGUGAGUGGGAAGGCAGCGGCAGAUCUUCUGAGGGCAUGCUUUUCUGCUUUACAACUCACAUUUUGUUGGUGGCUGGCUGUGUCUUCGAAAACAGAUCACACCGUUCUGGGGCACAAUUCUAGAUGUCCUUUUGUCUUCUUCCCCUUUCAAAGAUCGCCUGAGUCCUAUUUUCCGCUAGGGGUCGCCCUGACCUCCUGCCUCUUAUUUCAAAGCCAGUAAGAGUGGGUUGAGUCCUUCUCACUCCACCCUCUUCUUUGGUUUACCUCUUCUACUUGUAAGGACCGUUGUAAUUACAUUGGAUUCACCUGGAUAACCCAGAAUGAUCUCCCUAUUUUAAGGUCAGUUGAUUAACAAACUUAAUUUCAUCUCCAACUUUAAUUCUCCUUUGCCAUGUAAUUUAACAUAGUCACAGGUUCUAGGAAUUAGGAUGCGGUGGAAAGGUAUUUUUGCACCAGUUGCAAAUGACUUAAUUAUCAGUUUCACUUGAUUAUCAGAAAUCAACUCAUUUCGUUAUCAAAGUUAUUUGCUGUUCUUUGCUAAUUCAUUUGAAACUGGAAUCCUGAGUAGUGCUCAUUUGGACUAAAGCUCCAUGGUUCUACCCACUUGCUUUGGUUGUACUGUUGAGAGCAGAAACUUCAAAUCCAGGAUCUGUUAUUCUCUAGGGAGUCCCCUAAUUCAUUCUGUUUCUUCCUGGAGGAGUUGCAAAAGGGAGCCCGCACUGGGUGGAGCAAUUAGAAAGUGGUUCCAGGACUCGGGUUUGGUCAGAAGUUAAAGGAUAGAUUUCAGCACCACCACAGCAGGGUACAAUCUACACACAGUAGCCCUUCUACCUCACAGUUUCUAUAUACUGUGCCCCAUGCUUUCAGCCUCUGCCUUAAACAUUUAUUUGCUCUAAGCUUCUAAAGUGUAACCUGUGUCUUAGGAAGUCCCUUUAGGGCUUAGCUUAGAGCUGAGCACGGGGUAAACUCUGGACCCUGUCCUGCUGUGAUCUGUGAGUGACAAUACAAAACCACACCCUCAUUUUAGACAAAAUUUAAGCAUUUUAAAAUAAUAGUUAUAGAUUGCUAGCUACUUAAGAUGAUUUAUG